CCCCAGUCUGGCCCCAACUCUGCCAUGGGGCCCGGGCCAGUGUGGUUAGUGGCCGUUUGUAUUCUGGGAGCAGGUCCUACAGAUGCCGAAGUCACCCAGACCCCCAGACACCUGGUCACCAGCCGGAGACAGAAUGUGAGACUGAGCUGUGAGCAUGACCGGAGCCACACUGCCAUGUAUUGGUACCGGCAGAACCCGGGGCAAGGACCAAGCUUCAUGUUUUACUUGCAGUCUCAGAGAGUUACGGAAAACGCGACAGUCCCACAUCGCUUCCAACCGCAUUGUCAGAAGGCUGGUGACUGCACCCUAGACAUCGGGACCACAGAGCUGGGCGACUCCUCGGUGUUCCUGUGUGCAAGUAGUAUAGACACAGCGCUACAGCCUCCCCACUUCUCUGCACACAAACCCUCCCCUCUCUGACACCAGCACACGGAGAGAGAGAUGUCCCUGUCCCAAAGGCCCUUGUGAUGGGUGUUGGGGGCAGGAGCAGACAGGUGUUGUGGGAGGAAGCAAGCUGCCCACCAGAAGCAGAUAAACUCC